CCUACGGGAGGCUGCAGUGAGGAAUCUUGCACAAUGGGCGAAAGCCUGAUGCAGCAACGCCGCGUGAGGGAUGAAGGCUUUCGGGUUGUAAACCUCUUUUAGUGGGGGCGAAAAAAAUGACAGUACCCACAGAAAAAGCACCGGCUAACUCCGUGCCAGCAGCCGCGGUAAUACGGAGGGUGCAAGCGUUAUUCGGAAUUAUUGGGCGUAAAGGGCGCGUAGGCUGCCUUGUAAGUUUGGUGUGAAAUCCCUGGGCUCAACCCAGGAAGUGCAUUGAAUACUGCAAGGCUAGAGUGUUGGAGAGGUGGGUGGAAUUCCAGGUGUAGAGGUGAAAUUCGUAGAUAUCUGGAGGAACAUCAGUGGCGAAGGCGGCCCACUGGACAACAACUGACGCUGAGGCGCGAAAGCGUGGGGAGCAAACAGGCUUAGAUACCCCAGUAGUC
rnacentral:rRNA from 1 species